ACCGGUGGGGCAACGCUGUGAGGGCCGAGGAGUUUGUUUUACUGUCACCGCCCAACCCCCCCCCUACUUCAGCGGUGACAUCACGCCGCUGCGUGACGUCACGCAGCCCCAGCAGAGCGCGGAUCUCUAGCCAUGGCGGAGGGGGAGAGGCCGAGGCCGCUCCUGCGGCUGGUGCAGGAGGGACGGCUGGAUCUCCUGCGGGACGAGCUGGGCCCGGCGGAGCAGAGCCAGCGCUACGGGCGCUCGGGGGACACGUUGCUGCACCACGCUGCCCGAUACGGGCACCGGGAUGUCCUUGCCUACCUGGUAGAGUCGCUGGGGAUGGAUGUUGAGGUGGUCAAUAGCGACUACAAAAGACCCCUCCAUGAAGCGGCCUCCAUGGGCCACAGGGAGUGUGUUUCCUACCUCCUGGAGAGAGGCGCGAGCGUAGAUUGCUUGAAAAAGGCAGACUGGACUCCCCUAAUGAUGGCUUGCACCAGACAAAACCUGGAGGUGAUCAAAGCUCUCGUGGAGCAUGGAGCCAACCCAUUGCUGAAGAAUAAGGAUGGCUGGAAUUGCUUCCACAUCGCGAGCCGGGAGGGCCAUCCCCAUGUCCUCCAGUACCUGCUGGACGUGUCCCCGAGCAGCUGGGACACAGAGAGCACAAUAAAGAGAACACCUCUGCACACAGCAGCAAUGCACGGCUGUUUUGACGCUGUGGAGCUGCUCCUGGAGCGGUGCCAGUACAAACCCGACAGCAGAGACAAAUGUGGAGUCACUCCCUUUAUGGAUGCUAUCCAGAACGGGCAUGUCGACAUUGCCCGGCUGCUCCUGGAAAAACACCAGGCCUGUCCUUCAGCCUUGGACGCGCUGGGCGCUCAACCUCUGCACCGGGCAGCCCUCACAGCCCAGGAUGAAUCCAUCCAGUUCCUCGUCUCCGAGCUGGGGGUCGAUGUCAACGAAAGAGUGUCGGCCCUCCAGCUCACGGCGCUGCACUACGCAGCCAAGGAAGGACACACGCGCACCAUCCAGACCCUGCUGUCCCUUGGAGCUGACGUCCACGCAAAGGAUGGGAAGAGCCGUUCCGCCCUGCACGCUGCGUGCGCUGGGCAGCAGGCGGACGCCGCACGGAUCCUGCUCCACGCUGGGCUGCGGGAUGCCCCGGAUGGCACGGGCACGCUGGCGCAGCAGCUCGCGAGGAAGCCAGAUGUCAUCCAGGUUUUCCAGGAAACGAACGUCAGCGCGUGAGAGCAACUGGGAAAAAGAGAAACGCGUUUCAUUUCAGUGUGUUCCAAAUUUCAGGGCUGAACUUCACCUCUUCUUCUGCAGCACCCAGCACAUCCAAAGAGCUGGGGCCGCAGGUCCCUGAGGUAUAACCGUCCAAGGAAGGUGCCCGUGGGCCACCGCUGGAUGACCUCUGGGGACCUGCAUGGCUUCAAUUGGCUGGAGCCUGCCUAGCUCUUGCUGGGAUGUUUCCAUACAGCGGACCUCCAGAAGGAGAAGAUACACCUGGAUCAUUAAUUUUUAUAGCCUUUAAUGGACCUGCUCUCCACUAAACUCUUAAGUUGCUUUAAGUGGCCACCUCUUCGGGUGGCCCGAGAGAGACUGAGUGCAGUGCUGUGUAAGUGAGCCCCUGGUGACUCUUCCUUCAUCAGGUUUCAGCUGCAGAGGACAAGUGCAGGGAGCCUUCAAGCUGCAUCAACUUCUUACAUCCUUUUUGUGGCCCAAGCCUGAGCCCAAAGCCUGCUGAAAUCAAUAGCAAGACAUCAACCUUGUGACGACAUCGAGGAUCUUUGGGUCAGACUGAAAAAGAGCUAUUUGUUAUUCCAGACAGUCUUGCUUGGAACUUCUCACCACUGAUGAACUUGAAAAAAAAAAAAAAAAAAAAAUCUGCUUUUUGAAGUGUAUGGGGAAAUGGCUUCAUAUUUCAGGUAGCCAAUAAGUCUCUAACAGUCUGAAAUACACAUAAAGGCAACAAAAAGAUGCACAGAAACAAACUGGCUGUUAUCGCAGAUGAUCAGGUACAAAAGGGCGUUAGAAAAGGAACGUGGAUUCAUCUUUCUGACUGCAAAAUUAGCUGGGAGAAGAGCCCUUGCUGUCUCCCUCGCUGUUGUAGGGGUUGCUUACUCGCCGCAAAGUAGGAGCGAGGGGUCGGGACCCCUUUGCGUCCCUGCAAAACGCCGGGAAGAGCUCGGCAGCGCUAGACAGCCUGCCUGCAGACCCCCGUGAGCGCCUGCUCCCCGGGGAGGAAGCCCAAGAGCCGGGCUCCGUGCCACGCGGCGCUGAAGGCAGCUUGGAGCCCAGCCCGGCGGCCGGCGCGCGGCUUCGACGCUCUCCUGUUAUGUCACCUCUUCCAUCCUCAGCGCCGGCGCUUGCCAGGGGUCCCGCAAACCACUCCUGCUCCUGCAGCCUUGGAGGAGAAGACCCGAUGCCUUCGUCUUGUAGGACGUGGCUGAGAUGCUAAGUAGAAGCGUGUGGAUAGGUAGGAAAUAAUGUUGCAUGGCUGGGAGACCUUCCUGGAAGGGAAAGUUUUAAAUAAUACUGAUUUUAUUCUGGCGGUCGCUCCAUCACACCCCUCCAAACUCACAAGCACCGAGAUGCGUGUACCUGAGUGGUCUAGCUGGGUUUUCUUACCAUGACACUGAGGACAGACUGCAGCUAUUUUGUCCUCAUCGUGGCUCCCAGGAUUUUCUUAGGUUGGUGACUGUGUAUCGGCAUCGGAUGUGCCCUUUUGUACUUCUUGGGAGCUGCUGGUGAUUUUCCAGUCUAUCCUGUUCCCCUUCUCAGUGAGUUACGAGGAUUCACUCUCUGGCUGUUGUCUCUCAACCCUGGUGUCCUGGUGGUAGACGUGAGCCAAGAGCUUGAGAGCCCACAGGUGCCUCACCACCAACUGUUUUGCCAUCUCUUCUGCUGCUCCCACAGCCAGAAAUUCCCACUCAACCUAUGCCCACACCAGUCUCAACAUUUCCACUGUGGGUACGUCCCUACGGAUGUCGCUCUGUUCCUCCAAGCCAACCUCAACUGCCACCGAGUUGCUCCAUCCCACCCCACGCUGUUCACGCGUCGCUGACUUCUCCAACGGAGAUCUGUGGCGGUGGCUCGUGCCGAUCGCCGCUUGCCUGAUGCUCACCCACGAUGGAGAGGAGGUAGAAAACCUCGUGCCUGCUGCUUGGACCCCAAAACCUGGGCAUCCCCGAAGGGCCCGAUGCUGCCACCCAUUUCUGCGCAUCUGGGCGCGGAAAGGUUUGUCCCUAGCUCCUGGAGAACGUCACCGCUGCGCUCUUGAUGUUGCUCAGUCCUCGUGUGCUCUCUCACUGACCUCUCAGCGCUGCCUGACCUUCACUAACACUUAAAGGAAGAUUAAACACCCCUUAAAUGAAGAUUUUUAUGAUUUCAUUUUGUAACUGACCUGGGUUUGAAGGAGCUUGGUGCAAGCCCAGCAGGGAACACCCGCUCCGUCCAUGAGCACCGUUCUCUGACGCCUCAGGACCGGCAGAUCCCACCCCCCUGGAGCCACGUUCACCCCUCCACGCUUUGCUCCUCCAAAUAUUAAAACCAUUUUUAAAAGCGCCCGCUCCGCUUCCCGUCCGAGCCACCGCAGCGGCGUGAUGGAGCUUUGCCCGCUUCUUCCUCGCCUCCCGCCGCGCUCCCCUCGGCGUUUCACGUCCCGGUAGAUGCGGAGGAUGCAACCCUACGAUCAAAUUAAGAUGCUUUAAGACCCGCGGGUGCCUAAUCCGCUCCGGUGGCCCCAAGGUAUGUAAGCAGCUUUGCCGCGGCCGCUGCGUACACGCUUCCACCCCGGCUCGCUCCUCUUCGCCGCGAUGCUGAUCCACGGGGCCGUUCAAACCAGCGGGCAGCCGGGGGAAUUCCUGCGUGGCUUCAAGGAAAAGGGUGGAGACGGGGUAGCGGUGAGGAUUAAAAUCAGAAAAAAAAAAAAAAAAAAAAAAA